GGACCUGACUGCUAUCGGAUUGAUACUAAGCCAUGCGAGUCAUUGUAGCAAUACAAGGCAUACGGCUCAGUAACGCGUAGUCAACCAAACCUAUGGACGGGAAUAACCUCGGGAAACUGAGAAUAAUGCCCGAUAGAACAUUAUGCCUGGAAUGGUUUAUGUUCCAAAUGAUUUAUCGCCGUAGGAUGGGACUGCGGCCUAUCAGUUUGUUGGUGAGGUAAUGGCCCACCAAGACUAUUACAGGUACGGGCCCUGAGAGGAGUAGCCCGGAGAUGGGUACUGAGACACGGACCCAGGCCCUAUGGGGCGCAGCAGGCGAGAAAACUUUGCAAUGUGCGAAAGCACGACAAGGUUAAUCCGAGUGGUUUCUGCUAAAGAAACCUUUUGUCAGUCCUAGAAACACUGAUGAAUAAGGGGUGGGCAAGUUCUGGUGU
rnacentral:rRNA from 1 species